UGCUUCCGGGCGCCAUGGCGGCGGCGGGAAUUCGAUUAGAGUUUGAUCAUGGCUCAGAUUGAACGCUGGCGGCAUGCUUUACACAUGCAAGUCGAACGUUAACGCGGGGGCAACCCUGGCGACGAGUGGCGAACGGGUGAGUAAUACAUCGGAACAUGUCCUGGAGUGGGGGAUAGCUCGGCGAAAGCCGGAUUAAUACCGCAUACGCUCUGAGGAGGAAAGCGGGGGACCCGCAAGGGCCUCGCGCUGCAGGAGUGGCCGAUGUCGGAUUAGCUAGUUGGUGAGGUAAAGGCUCACCAAGGCGACGAUCCGUAGCUGGUCUGAGAGGAUGAUCAGCCACACUGGGACUGAGACACGGCCCAGACUCCUACGGGAGGCAGCAGUGGGGAAUUUUGGACAAUGGGGGCAACCCUGAUCCAGCCAUGCCGCGUGAGUGAAGAAGGCCUUCGGGUUGUAAAGCUCUUUCGGACGGAACGAAAUGGUUACGGUGAAUAGCCGUGACUCAUGACGGUACCGUAAGAAGAAGCACCGGCUGACUACGUGUCAGCAGCCGCGGUAAUACGAAUCACUAGUGAAUUCGCGGCCGCCUGCAGGUCGACCAUAUGGGAGAGCUCCCA
rnacentral:rRNA from 1 species